UUAAUUACAGUGCCCUGUUUCACAAAUUUUUAUUUUUUAGGUUCGAAGUUGUGUUAGAGUCAAUAGAUGAGUUUACACUAGAUAUCCCCAGGAUAUGCGAGUACAUUGGAGAUAUCCUUGAACCUAUUCCAGAAGAUAACAAAUUUUCUCUAGAUGUUCUUAAAGAUGUCCUAAAUCCUUGUAUUCCUUCCCAGACAGCUGGACUGUUGGUAUCAGCAUCCCUACAUUGUGCAACUAAAAGAAGAAGAACUAUCAAACUUGGAGAGCUGUGGCGAGAAUCUAAGCUACAGUGGACUGACUUUUUAGGGAACGAUGCUAAAGUAGACGAAUUUAUUCUAAAACAGAAAUUGGAAUUCACGAUUUGUCCUACUAAAGAUUAAAAAGAAUCUCCUCGAUUUGCUUCAUAAAACUGACGAAAGUGAAGAAAUAUUUGAUUGGAUAGAUGCCAAUGUAUCUGAAUGUACAGAACCUAAAUUUAUCCGUGGCUUGGUGUCUACUGUGCAUGAAAAUGCCAUAAAAGAUACUACUUCUGGGUGGGAAUUAGAUGUUACGAAAUUGAGAAAAGGGAUAUCUAUACUAACACGGUAUAUAGAUAAUAAUGAAAAUCUGGAACUUCAAGCUUUAUAUGCUGUUCAGUCACUAAUGAAUCAACUGAAUCAACCUAAAGGUAAUUCAUUCAUUGAUCCACUUACA